rnacentral:rRNA from 1 species
CCCAAGAGAUCGGGAUAACACCUGGAAACAGAUGCUAAUACCGGAUAACAACAGAUGAUGCCUAUCAACUGUUUAAAAGAUGGUUCUGCUAUCACUCUUGGAUGGACCUGCGGUGCAUUAGCUAGUUGGUAUGGUAACGGCCUACCAAGGCGAUGAUGCAUAGCCGAGUUGAGAGACUGAUCGGCCACAUUGGGACUGAGACACGGCCCAAACUCCUACGAGAGGCAGCAGGC